AAAUGCCAUUGGAAAGGUACCGCGCUCUGUCGCUGCAAGGGGAGAAUCAACUCCCUGAAACCUGAGGGCAUUUUUUUUCUUUGUCUGCUUGGUGGUUUCCUUGGCUGUUUCGGGGAGGGUUUUCGAACAGAAAGGCUGGUGAAAAAGCACCACAAAUUCCUGCCUGCUUGGCUUCCCAUGUCUCCCUCCCGUCUGUGGGCAACGUGGGGAGUGGGGACCCUGCUUUUGUCCCACAGAGAGCUGGUUCCUGGGCCAAAACACUGACAGCAAAUGGCUUAUGGGCCCCCAGCCUGGCCUGAUCCCACCUCAGUGCCCAAACAUUCACCUGCUGGCAACCAGGGGCUCUCUGCUUUCCAUCGGGUUUAAAUCUUCAUAAAAAA